rnacentral:rRNA from 1 species
CAAUAGCGUAUAUUAAAGUUGUUGCAGUUAAAAAGCUCGUAGUUGAAUUUUUGCUUGCCGCCGAUGUCGGAACUUCCGUACGUUCGGCGGCGUGCAUCCUUGGGUGGAACCUGUGUGGCAUUAGGUUGUCGUGCAGGGGAUGCUCAUCGUUUACUGUGAAAAAAUUAGAGUGUUCAAAGCAGGCUUACGCCGUUGAAUAUAUUAGCAUGGAAUAAUAAGAUAGGACCUUGGUACUAUUUUGUUGGUUUGCGCACCGAGGUAAUGAUUAACAGGGACAGUUGGGGUUAGGGUUAGGGUUAGGGGUAUUCGUAUUCCAUUGUCAGAGGUGAAAUUCUUGGAUUUCUGGAAGACGAACUACUGCGAAAGCAUUUACCAAGGAUGUUUUCAUUAA